CCUACGGGGGGCAACAGUCGAGAAUCAUUCACAAUGGGGGAAACCCUGAUGGUGCGACGCCGCGUGGGGGAAUGAAGGUCUUCGGAUUGUAAACCCCUGUCAUGUGGGAGCAAAUUAAAAAGAUAGUACCACAAGAGGAAGAGACGGCUAACUCUGUGCCAGCAGCCGCGGUUAUACAGAGGUCUCAAGCGUUGUUCGGAAUCACUGGGCGUAAGGCGUGCGUAGGCUGUUUCGUAAGUCGUGUGUGAAAGGCGCGGGCUCAACCCGCGGACGGCACAUGAUACUGCGAGACUAGAGUAAUGGAGGGGGAACCGGAAUGCUCGGUGUAGCAGUGAAAUGCGUAGAUAUCGAGAGGAACACUCGUGGCGAAGGCGGGUGCCUGGACAUUAACUGACGCUGAGGCACGAAGGCCAGGGGAGCGAAAGGGAUUAGAUACCCUUGUAGUC
rnacentral:rRNA from 1 species